AUUGAACGCUGGCGGCAUGCCUUACACAUGCAAGUCGAACGGCAGCGGGGGAGAAGCUUGCUUUUCCUGCCGGCGAGUGGCGAACGGGUGAGUAAUACAUCGGCACGUGCCCUGUAGCGGGGGAUAACUAGUCGAAAGAUUAGCUAAUACCGCAUACGACCCGAGGGUGAAAGUGGGGGACCGCAACGCCUCAUGCUAUAGGAGCGGCCGAUGUCUGAUUAGCUAGUUGGAGGGGUAAAGGCCUACCAAGGCGACGAUCAGGAGCUGGUCUGAGAGGACGAUCAGCCACACUGGGACUGAGACACGGCCCAGACUCCUACGGGAGGCAGCAGUGGGGAAUUUUGGACAAUGGGCGAAAGCCUGAUCCAGCAAUGCCGCGUGUGUGAAGAAGGCCUUCGGGUUGUAAAGCACUUUUGUCCGGAAAGAAAUGGCUCUGGUUAAUACCUGGGGCCGAUGACGGUACCGGAAGAAUAAGGACCGGCUAACUACGUGCCAGCCGCCGCGGUAA
rnacentral:rRNA from 1 species